AGGAGGGAGCUGCUGGAGCUGUGCUGAACCUCUGCUCAUGAACGCAGUGACAUCAGGCUUCACUUUCCAGACUUUCCUGGCGGCAGGAGGCGCGCGGCGUCUCCCACGCUCUGUGAAGCGCCUGAACUGCGCACCGCAUUUAACCCGUGGCUUCCAGGCUGACGGCCUCCGACGCCGCAGAAGCUGCAGAGACUUUGCAGAGGUGUCUUCCAGAGCAUCUAAAGCAUCAUCCAGAUCAAAACUGUGGAUCCCACAAUGAGAGAGCUUUUACUACACGACUCCACAGAAGGAGGAGGAAGACGUCACAUCUGAGCCCGCCCACCACCGCCGCUACCUAGCCUCACACAUGCAGACUGUCACAGCGCAUCUAGCUCCACGCUCCCACUCUGCCUCGGAGCAGGGCUGUCCUCUGCAGCUCAGACAGCGGCAGAGAGAGACCGGAACAGCUGAUCAGGUGUCUGCAGGUGGCCGGAGGAACAGCUGAUCAGGGGUGUCUGCAUGUGUAUGGAGGAACAGCUGAUCAGGUGUCUGCAGGUGGACGGAGGAACAGCUGAUCAGGUGUCUGCAUGUGUACGGAGGAACAGCUGAUCAGUGGUCUGCAUGUGUACGAGGAACGCUGAUCAGGUGUCUUGCAGGUGGACAGAGGAACAGCUGAUCAGGUGUCUGCAGGU
rnacentral:lncRNA from 1 species